GUAUUCAUUUGGUUGCAAUCUGCAACCUCACCACUAGAUGCCACUAAAUCCUACAUGCUGGUCCCUUAACAGACCUUCUUAUCCUGUUUCUUAUACAACCCUUUCGGCUUUUCAAGUGGACACCAUCUGACUGUGCACUGCCUGCCCAGCGUGAAUUGGUGGAGAGCUGAAGUAAACAAGUGGCUAGUGAAGACAGCUGAACAUCUACCAAACCAGCAAGACACACAUACCGUAUAUUUUUUCUGAGAAGUUGGUGGACCAAACCAGAUCCAAAGAGUCUUUUUUUCUCUCAGUUGUUCAGCCCACUAUGCUCCCUCUGAUGUGAUCUUCAUCUUCUGGGACUAGAGGUUGAGCACUACCUUCUGCUGAGAAAGGCUUAGGGUUUCUUGGCAUGCCUGGAGGCCCACGUACCUGAGGAUGCUGGCGAGUCUGGACUUAGGCCACAUGCUCAGGUUCUGUGCGGUUGUCCAUGGCCACACUUCCAGGAAGCACAGUUUAAUUCUCCAUGGAUCAAAGGCUUAAAACUUAUUUGUUGGAAAAAGAGCAAUUUAUUUAGCGAUGCACUGGCUCCCCUGGGGAAACUCAAUUGAAAAAAGUGUAAUGGAAGUCUGCACUCUGAAUGAAAGGCGGAGCAGGUAAAUUACAACAGCUGACAGGUAUCAGGAUUUUAAUAAGGAAUCCCUCCCUAAAGAUUGUUGCCAAUUCAAGGCACAUAAUUGAAAUUUUAUCAGUCAGAUACAAUCAAGACACAAGCAUUCUGGGCAUUUCAAGUAUAAUAGAUUCUAGUCUGUAUGAUUUUUUUUUAGAUAAGCAGCAGCUUGCUCAGCAUCAGUGUGGAUUGGACUGGAAUUUGGAAGUAGAUAUGACAAUGUAGGUUGAUGGAGGUAGUAGACAUUUGCUCAACACCACAAACUUAUACUAACACUGAUGCUAUUUGUUGUAAUUGACCUGCAGGACACAGAGAACAGCUUGUGCCAAAAUGUGUCACAAGAUGACAACAACCUGAUCUUAUUCUACACUCUUCUCUUUCACUCAGGCUAUGUCAAUUAAUUUAGCCAAAAUAGAGCUAAACCAACAAAGAAGACAGCCAAAGAGUGACAAAAGACAUUCUCUCUACUAUUGAAAACGUAGAUUCAUUAAUUAUGACUUUGGGUGAAAAUCUAAAAAAUGGUGAAAUACAAAUAUGAAAUAAAAAUAUGCACCAAGCAUAAGAGUGAUUUCCUUCAGUGUUUUAGCAUAGAAUGUUCAACUUACGAUGAUCCUUGCGACUGUGUCAAUUUGAUUCUCCAAAGUUUGGUCUUGCAUUGGAAAUAGACGCCUCAGGAGGGUUGUGCGUAGGAGACGAGACAUCAGUCUGUUGGCAGCAGCCAGAUGAACCGUACAGCGUGGAUCUGAACAAAACUGCAGCUGAAUUAUUAAUGUACAUUUGUAAGCUUGGAUAGACAGUGUGCCUUCCUCUGAUCAUACCAUAUGCAUGUCAGUUCAGAUGUCUUUAACAUGCACUUUUCAUAGCUAGUUCAUGAGAGUUUCCUUAAUGAACAGUUUGAUCUUGUGUACAUGUAAUCAUUUGAUAUUUAUAUUGUCAUGAUGUGUGUACAAGGGGUACAGUGUUCAGGUCUUCAUGGCAGAGUGCUUAUGAAGGUGGUCAGGUGGAGGCCGAGUUGUCGGACCCAGACACACUUUACCAGGCUGCAUCUGUCAUGGUUGUGUCAGAGCACUCAGUACACAGCAGGCAAAAGGGAAAUAAGGGCAUGAAGCCAUUUUACAACACAAUGCCUUGCUGUUUAUAGCACUCAGAGUCUAUUCAACUGGAAUGUCACUCUGUAUUUUGACAAAGAUAUUGAGGUCCAAAGACUCUGAGCAUUUAUUAUAACCUUCGCCCCCUCCAAAGCCAGCAGCCACUGAACUGAGAUGGAGAACAAUAAAUUAAAUCAAAGGCUACGGAACCCAGAAGUUAGCCAAGUGAACCCAUCACACAUGUCAGCUGGAAAAAUAUUAUAGUUGGUCGCAUUCACUUCAACUUAAUAUUCUUGUGUCAGCUAUGUCACUGGCUGCUGCAAAUACAGAAACAAACUGUAGCUAUGAAACAGAUUAAUUAGCUAUAGAGCAGACUAAAUAACACCACAUUAUUAAAAUUAGAGGACAAUGGUCAUUAAUACUGUCCAUCAAUGCAUCAAAUUUGAGAUUGCUCUUUUUCUUUGUAUCCUUUAAAAAACAAUAACUUUACAGACAAAAAUUUUCCAAAUGAAAACAUCAACAUGGUCAGCAAUUAAUUGAUACUACUAACACGUUUUGUCUGUGAGGCCAAAACAUGAUCCUCUGUGCCACAGGGCUUCAUCGUCUAUGAGGCACAUCAUUGCACCCUGUUAACAUGUUCCUUCAUAACACUGAACAUGGGUGUUAUAGUUUAUGUAAGUGAAUCCCACUUAUACCAUCCUACUGCCUUAAAGUCCCCCUUCGCUAAAAAAUGUGUUUUUCUUCUUGUUACUUCAGUUGGAUGCACAUCGAUUGCUUACACACUAUAACUGGACCUAUUAACUAAAAAUCCCAAACCAUGACGCCAUCUACCAAAAAACAGACCCAUUUCCCCAAAACUAUCAACACUAUUCCCCUGUUUUCACUCAUGUGCUCAUUUAGAAAGCACUGGUAUUCGAUAUCAUUAACUCAAGUCAUCACAGCCGCAACCCAAUUAACACACAAUUCUCAGAGUGGAAACAUUAAGAGUCAAAAUUGUUCACACACCAAUCAGAACCUCGGGAUAGAUAGAUAACAGGGUCAUGGGUCAGCUCACUUGUUUUGGAACAAUGGAUCCACAAAGACCUGAGGCAGAAUAAAUGUGAUUUCUUUCUUUAUGUUCAAAUUGGUUUUUUUUCAUUGGUUUAUAUUGGUAAAUACAUAAAAAUUAUUUUACUGUAUUCUUAAUCAGUUGCAUGUUUUCACAGUACAUUU